CUGGGCACCGGGUGGAGGAAUCCCCGAGUCCUGCUAGGGAGCCAGGUACCGGCAGUCAAGACAGGCUUCCUGCUUGACAAGGAGCUUUGUGAAGGGAGAGAUCAACCCCCAAGGCCCAGCUCAGGGCCCUGCACGGAGGCUCACCCGCUGUCUGUCUGAUGGAGGUCCCUGCAAGAGGAAGCCAAGUUGAUCGUUUGGUGAAGAUGAGCAUCAUGGGUGGUUGUGAAAGGACUCGGGGCUGUGGAAACUCCCUGUUGUUGCCGGGAUCUCAGCUCUUCUCCCUGGAAAUAACUCCUGAUGAGUGCUGAACAAGUGACGCGUGAUGAAGCAUUUUCUCUUGCUGGGCGUCGUGGUGACUCAUACACAUUCUAGCAAGUGCGCUGAGUCCCAGGCAAGCGCCAGGGUGCUAAAACAUUUUUCUCAUCAAUAUGUGACCAGUAUAGUUCUGGUUGUUUGCUUAGUUUGUUCUAUAGAUUCAGUUGUUGAUAGCUGUGAA